UACAACGCUGAAGCGUUCUGCAAAUGAUAACUUGCAGAGGUUAUGUGAGCAUACGAAAUUUCCCGUGAAAGAUGUGUUGCGCCUUCAGCAGUGGUUAAAAGAAAUGAAGAGGAAGGACUGGAAGCCAAACCGAAAUAGCACAUUGUGUUCAGCUCAUUUUACAAAUGACUGCUUCGAUAGAACAGGAUUCCUAAUUACAUUGAAAAAGAACAGUGUACCAACUAUAUUUGACAACCCAAAAUCAGAGUGUUCAUCUUGUCACCGAUUAAGGGAAUAUGGACGUGGCUCUUCAUUCUUCAAGUUCCCAUUGGAUGAACCUGAUAUUAUGAAGCAGUGGAUCGCAAAUAUAAACAUUGGACCGUGGUCCCCAUCAAGUGAUAGCUUUCUGUGUUCCGACCACUUUGAACCCUCUUGCUUUCAGAAGAAAAGUACAAAUUAUAUAACUUUACGAAAAGGCAGUAUCCCAACGUUAUUUGGUAAGAUCUGAAACUAUUAAUCCCUUUUAGGUCAGAGAAAACUCAGUGUGCAUAAAGACACGUUGAUGUGAUGCACUAUUGCGUCAAUGCCGUCGAAGCGGUUAAUUAGCUACAGAUUAUAAAGUGCUCUGUUACAGAAAAAUCGUGUGUGACACAUUUCUGUGUAUUUCCAUUGUCGUUAUUUAUUAGUAACUUAUCUGUAGGUGAAAACUUGCAGCAGA